GUAGGACAAAUGAUCGCGGCUGUCCAUGGACAGGUGAGGAAAGUCCGGGCUUCGCAGGGCAGGAUGCCGGAUAACGUCCGGUGGAGGUGACUCCAAGGCAAGUGCAACAGAAAUAUACCGCCAUUUAUAGUGCCUUAGGGCACCACAGAGAAUCCUGUUUACAGGAUUCUCUAAAAGGUUCAGCUAUGCUGAACCGAUGGUGAGGGUGGAAAGGCAGUGUAAGAGACUACCGCCUGCACGGUAACGGGCAGGGCACAUGUAAACCCCAUCCGAAGCAAGACCAAAUAGAAAGCGUUUGAAGCCGGCCCGGUGAGCUUUCAGGUAGGUCGCUUGAGGCUGCUGGUAACGGCAGUCCUAGAUAGAUGAUCAUUCAACGACAUAACCCGGCUUAUCGUCCUGCUUGA
rnacentral:RNase_P_RNA from 1 species